rnacentral:lncRNA from 1 species
CUGCCAGGCGCACCUCCCUGGGGUGGGGGGCGGGAGAGGGAGGAGACAGGGUGGACCAGGCCGCGCUGGGCGCGUGGGGGCAGGGGGGAGUCAGGCGUUCGUCACCGGGGGUCACUGACCCCUCCGAGGGGCGGCUGCUCAGAAAGCCUGGACUCUUUCCCGGCCGUGAGUGGAUCAAGUUUUCUUGUCCCAAGGGAGCUGAGAACCCCCUUCAGCAAAUCUCUGUGGAACACAUCCCACGGUCAAGGACUGCUCUAUAUCCAGCAAGACAAGGCCCUUCUCACCCUGCCCUCCAGAGGUUAAGUGGGAGCAACCAGACAAUAACGGGCCUCUGAAAGCACAGAGGACCACCUACGGCCAGUACCCCGAGGUGUGGAUGAAACUGCUGACUCCCGGACUGCGACCCAGCUCUUCUGAAUUCAAAGCCUGAAGACAGCCUUGGAAUCUGAAUAACCGCCUCCUCAGGUGACUCUGAGACCUCUCGCAGCCGCCUUCAGGGCAGACAAGCCUGGAUGCUCCUUUUGUCGUGAGACAGCGCAUUUCCUCUUUGUACCUUAACUAAGCCAAAGCUGGGAAAUCAGCAGGGAGGGAAGGUUCCGAGCUCGCGGGCCUGUAGGCGGCAAGCAUGGACAAGUGCAGCCCUUCCCUCUCCCUGAGCUGGAGGACGGCAGGGCCAAGGGAGGAGGAGGAGGAGGAGGAUGCUCCUUCCCCCCAGCACUGAGCCCUCCCAGCUGUGCUGUGCUGGGAACAGGCCAGGCGUUUGUGAAAUCCUCGGGUGAGCCUGACCCACUGUCAUGAGGACUUGCCUGUGGAAGCUGGUGCCGGGAGGGGGAUGGGGGGCUGUUCCCAGAAGCGGGUAGAACUCUGGACUUCCCACUCCUGAGCGCUCUGAUUGCAGCACAGCCUUAAGCAACAGUAGCGGCCUGGAAGGCUGGGCUGCAGGCUGGAAGGCCGGGAUGCAGCCUGGAAGGAAGGCUGGGCUGCAGGCUGGAACACUGGGUUGUAGGCUUCAGGCUUUUUUUCAGAAAAGAAAUUAGGGUUCUGAAUGCUAAGACUUUGGGCUCUUCCAGUUAACACCAUCACUGCCGGUAUUCACAGCACUAUUCAGGCCCAGCCUCAGGAAAAGACUGCAAACCCAGAUAUAAAAAAUAAAAAUAAAUAAAAAACAGCCAGGCGUGGUGGCUCACGCCUGUAAUCCUAGCACUUUGGGAGGUCAAGUCGGGCAGAUCACGAGGUCAGGAGAUUGAGCCCAUCCUGGCUAACACGGUGAAACCCCGUCUCUCCUAAAAAUGCAAAAAAUUAGCCUGGUGUGGUGGCGGGCACCUGUAGUCCCAGCUACUCGGGAGGCUGAGGCAGGAGAAUGGCGU